rnacentral:rRNA from 1 species
AUUGGCUAAAUUUGUGCCAGCAGCUGCGGUUAAACAAAAGAUACAAAUAAAUUUUGUAAAUUUAAAGUUAAAUUGGUUAUAUUUAAUUAAUAAAAAAAUUUUAGGUGAAAUUUUAUUUUUUUUUAAUUAAUAAAAUAAAAAAUAUUGAAACUUAAAAAUUUUAUUUUUAAACUAGGAUUAGAUACCCUAUUAUUUAAUAAUGUAAAAUAAAAUAUUAGAGUAGUAAUAGUUAUGGUCUUGAAACUCAAAAAAUUUGGCGGUAUUUUAGUCUAUUCAGAGGAACCUGUAAUAUAAUCGAUAAUCCACGAUGAACCUCACUUAAUUUAUAAUUUAAUUUGUAUAUCGCUGUUAUUUGAAAAUUUUAUAAGAAUAAUAAUUUUCUGAAAUUUUUAUUAAAAAAUAAAUCAAGUCAAGAUGCAGUUUAUAGUUAAGAAUUAUAUGGGUUACAAUAAAUUUAUUUAUACGGAAUAUAAAUUGAAAUAAUUUUAAAUAAGGUGGAUUUGAAAGUAAAUUUUUAAAGAUAAAAAAGUUGAUUUUAGCUCUAAAAUAUGCACAUAUCGCCCGUCGCUCUUGUUAAUAAUAUAAGAUAAGUCGUAACAUA